rnacentral:rRNA from 1 species
UGGGGAAUAUUGGGCAAUGGGCGCAAGCCUGACCCAGCAACGCCGCGUGAAGGAAGAAGGCUUUCGGGUUGUAAACUUCUUUUAAGGGGGACGAACAAAUGACGGUACCCCUUGAAUAAGCCACGGCUAACUACGUGCCAGCAGCCGCGGUAAUACGUAGGUGGCAAGCGUUAUCCGGAUUUAUUGGGUGUAAAGGGCGUGUAGGCGGGAAUGCAAGUCAGAUGUGAAAACUAUGGGCUCAACCCAUAGCCUGCAUUUGAAACUGUAUUUCUUGAGUGCUGGAGAGGCAAUCGGAAUUCCGUG